rnacentral:tRNA from 1 species
GGCAAGAUGGCCGAGUUGGUCCAAGGCGUGAGGUUAAGGUCCACCUUAAUACCUAGCUUAAAGCUUCCUCAUCAUCAUCUGAUGGCGUGGGUUCGAAUCCCACUCUUGUCA